CCUACGGGGGGCAGCAGUGGGGAAUAUUGGGCAAUGGGCGCAAGCCUGACCCAGCAACGCCGCGUGAAGGAAGAAGGCUUUCGGGUUGUAAACUUCUUUUAUCAGGGACGAAGCAAGUGACGGUACCUGAUGAAUAAGCCACGGCUAACUACGUGCCAGCAGCCGCGGUAAUACGUAGGUGGCAAGCGUUAUCCGGAUUUACUGGGUGUAAAGGGCGUGUAGGCGGGAGUGCAAGUCAGAUGUGAAAACUAUGGGCUCAACCCAUAGCCUGCAUUUGAAACUGUACUUCUUGAGUGCUGGAGAGGCAAUCGGAAUUCCGUGUGUAGCGGUGAAAUCCGUAGAUAUUAGAAGGAACACCAAUAGCGUAGGCAGGUUGCUGGGACGGUUCUGACACUAAGGCACGAAAGCGUAGGGAGCAAACGGGAUUAGAUACCCUAGUAGUC
rnacentral:rRNA from 1 species